GUUCUGUGCCAGAGACCUGAGGCCUGUGUCCAGACUCAUGCUAGGAAGAUGGAGGUACCGAGCUAGUAUCCUGACAAAGUCCCGCUUGGCUUCAGCCAGGAGCCUGGAAGUGCUGUAGCCGGAACUCUGUGUCAGUGCUUUCACCAUUACCAACCUAGCAUGUCAUAUGUGCUGAGCCAGUGACCUCAUAGCAGCCCAUUCUUUGAUAUCAAUCCAGUAUGCUACAUUUGAGGAACAAGUGACCUCAUAGAGGACAUAAACCCAGAAACCUAGAGGUGCUGAAACAUUAACCACAUAAAGGCCUGUUGCCUUGGCGCCAGCCAUCAUUCUAGAAUGUGUUGAGAUUUGACUUUAUCCCAGCAAGCUAAAGGUCCUGAGCUGGUAACCCUCCAAGGCCUGUGCAUUUACAUUAACCCUGCAUGCUAUAAUUGAUACAGAAGAAAAAGCAGGUGACACCCAUGAGCUUCUCCCUCAUUGAGACUCUUUGAUUCAGGUUGUUAAAUCUGAGAGGAGCCAAAAGCAUUAGGGAAUGUCUGUGGGUGUGCCAAGAAAGACCCACUCACCCACCCAGUCAGCACAGUAAACUGUUACACUACUAUGUCAUUUAGAGGAAUACAAUGGUUUCAGAACUAA